UGCCGAGACAUUUUGUAAUCUGUGAUUUCCAAAGCUUUUGGUGUCUGUUAUUUACUCCAAAUGUUAGUUUUUUUUAUUGUACCUUUCGCCUUUUGUGGAUUGCCUGGUGACAACUUUUCAUGUAAUUAAAUUCUUUUACCUUUUGUGAAUGCGUACCUGCUUUAGCUGAAGAAUGCUGAACUUACUGCAGAAGAAAACACCAAAGUGACUGAUCUUUGCCUGUCCUGGGAUCUUCCAUUUCCAAACUCCACCAAUCGUGUCUGGCUGUUCCAGGAAUUGCUUUCACAUGCAGUACUUCACCGUGUUAAACAGCCAAUUAAACAAAUACGGAAAGGCCUUAAACAAACAGGAAUCUGGCCACUUCUUUCAGACAGGCCAGAUGUCCACCCCUUAAUUUUCCCAAGGGAAUCAAGUGAGGAGCUUAACCCACAGACCGUGAUCCAGAGCAUUACCUGGCCACAACCCAACGUUGACAGCGACAAGGAUGAGGAUGACACUGUUCCAUUGGAGAAAAUCAGUCUUGUCACUGGAUUUUUGAGAAAAUUCAUAGAGGAAGGUAAUACUGUAAAUGGUUUUUAUUUCCUAAUUUUUCAUUCUCAUCUUAAUUCACACAUAAUUGUUUCCUCAUAACAAUCCCAGUUGCUACAAUAAUAAAGUGGUUCUUCAUAUUUACCA
ensembl:lncRNA